rnacentral:sRNA from 1 species
CACCACGUUAUACCCUAACUACCUGCCUGCCUGCAAGUGCGGCCCUCCAAAAAAACGAAAAAAAUAGCCAAAAAAAACCCCCAACCUUUGUUGCCAGUGUGCCGAGAGGUUCUAUCUAAGUUUAGUAUAGUAGCUCAAAGAGCUUCGACAUGCACCCCGCAAUGGGAUCAUAGCUCCGUCAUCACUUAAAUCCAUUUUUCUUUUUCGGUUGCUUUUGUUUGGGUGUAUGCGAUGCACGCAAAUCACUACAGGGUGAACGAGAGAACUAAGACAUUUAUGUAAAACGCAAGCAUGCCAAGUGGACUGGUUGGGGAGUAUGCAAGGAAACAAGCACCGUACUACCGUAGAAUAAUGUCAACAUUUACCUUGUACGGUAGGCUUGAUAUCAUACCUGGAUAUAUAGAUAUAUAUAUAAAGCGCUAUCCAUUCUUCAACAAAGAGCUUUUUAAGCUGCACAUCAAACAAAGGCCC